UGAAGCCGCUUCGGUGGUGGAUUAGUGGCGAACGGGUGAGUAACACGUGGGCAAUCUGCCCUUCACUCUGGGACAAGCCCUGGAAACGGGGUCUAAUACCGGAUAACACUCCUGCCUGCAUGGGUGGGGGUUGAAAGCUCCGGCGGUGAAGGAUGAGCCCGCGGCCUAUCAGCUUGUUGGUGGGGUAAUGGCCUACCAAGGCGACGACGGGUAGCCGGCCUGAGAGGGCGACCGGCCACACUGGGACUGAGACACGGCCCAGACUCCUACGGGAGGCAGCAGUGGGGAAUAUUGCACAAUGGGCGAAAGCCUGAUGCAGCGACGCCGCGUGAGGGAUGACGGCCUUCGGGUUGUAAACCUCUUUCAGCAGGGAAGAAGCGCAAGUGACGGUACCUGCAGAAGAAGCGCCGGCUAACUACGUGCCAGCAGCCGCGGUAAUACGUAGGGCGCAAGCGUUGUCCGGAAUUAUUGGGCGUAAAGAGCUCGUAGGCGGCUUGUCACGUCGGAUGUGAAAGCCCGGGGCUUAACCCCGGGUCUGCAUUCGAUACGGGCUAGCUAGAGUGUGGUAGGGGAGAUCGGAAUUCCUGGUGUAGCGGUGAAAUGCGCAGAUAUCAGGAGGAACACCGGUGGCGAAGGCGGAUCUCUGGGCCAUUACUGACGCUGAGGAGCGAAAGCGUGGGGAGCGAACAGGAUUAGAUACCCUGGUAGUCCACGCCGUAAACGUUGGGAACUAGGUGUUGGCGACA
rnacentral:rRNA from 1 species